rnacentral:rRNA from 1 species
UACGUAGGGGGCUAGCGUUGUCCGGAUUUAUUGGGCGUAAAGAGCGUGUAGGCGGCCAGGUAGGUCUGCUGUGAAAACUCGAGGCUCAACCUCGAGACGUCGGCGGAAACCAUCUGGCUAGAGUCCGGAAGAGGAGAGUGGAAUUCCUGGUGUAGCGGUGAAAUGCGCAGAUAUCAGGAAGAACACCCGUGGCGAAGGCGGCUCUCUGGGACGGUACUGACGCUGAUGCGCGAAAGCGUGGGGAGCAAACGGG